GACGAACGCUGGCGGCGUGCUUAACACAUGCAAGUCGAACGGAAAGGCCCCUUCGGGGGUACUCGAGUGGCGAACAGGUGAGUAACACGUGAGUAACCUGCCCUUGACUUCGGGAUAACUUCAGGAAACUGGGGCUAAUACCGGAUAGGAAUCCUUGCUGCAUGGUGGGGGUUGGAAAGCUUCGGCGGUUUUGGAUGGACUCGCGGCUUAUCAGCUUGUUGGUGGGGUAGUGGCUUACCAAGGCUUUGACGGGUAGCCGGCCUGAGAGGGCGACCGGCCACAGUGGGACUGAGAUACGGCCCAGACUCCUACGGGAGGCAGCAGUGGGGAAUAUUGCACAAUGGGCGGAAGCCUGAUGCAGCAACGCCGCGUGCGGGAUGACGGCUUUCGGGUUGUAAACCGCUUUCAGCAGGGGCGAAGCUUGUGGUGACGGUACCUGCAGAAGAAGCACCGGCUAACUACGUG
rnacentral:rRNA from 1 species